CAAUAGCGUAUAUUAAAGCUGUUGCGGUUAAAAAGCUCGUAGUUGGAUUUCUGUCAAGGACAACUGGUCCGCCCUCCGGGUGAGCACAUAGUUUGGUCUUGGCAUCUUGCUGGAAACUGUUGCUGCACUUGGCUGUGUGGCGCAGCGUCCAGCACUUUCACUUUGAGGAAAUUGGAGUGUUUCAAGCAGGCACAUGCCUUUGGACACAGUAGCAUGGAAUAAUUAGAUUGGGCUUUUGCUCCAAUUUGUCGGUUUCUGGAGCUGAGGUGAGAAUUAAUGGGGAUCGUUGGGGGCAUCCGAAUUUAGCCGUCAGAGGUGAAAUUCUUGGAUCUGCUAAAGACGGACAACUGCGAAAGCGUUUGCCCAGGAUGUUUUCAUUGA
rnacentral:rRNA from 1 species